AUCAAAUUCGAUUAAAAAAUGUAAAUAGGACUAUAAUAGGCCAAUUCUGGCCUGAGCCCAAAUUACCAAAAUAAAACAAAAACCCAAACCAAUAAAUAAACAGUCCAAAAUUACAAGUCCAUUAUAGUCCAAGUUUUUACCAAAACCCUAGCCUCCCUAACCCUCUUCAGUCGCCGCUCCUCCCAUGCACGCCAGCCUCCUCACGCGCGCCACCACCGCCGCACGCCAACACCACGCUCGUUUGACACUUGCAAAAAUUGAAUGCAACAACAAAAAAGGCACGCCAACAAGCAGUAAAAACAAACGCAAAAAGACAAAAAAAAAUAGAAGCAAAUAGUCUUAAUAUUGGCUAUAAAAGCUAAGACGAUUUCUUUGUAUUUUCUUCUCUUUUACGAACACACAAUAGAAAAUAAAAAAAGAAAUAGAAUUGAAGUUAAAAAGGUGUUUGCUCUUUUUUCUUUUCUCGUUUUUUUUGUUUUCUGUUUAUCCUUUUUAUUUUUUACGAAUCUAUUUUAAUAAAAGAAACAUAAAAUAAAAAGAAAGAGCUCAUUGUCGAUUCAUUUUUCGUCACCACCGAGGAGAGCUCCAGCAAUCCUUCGUGAUCUAUUCUUUUUUUGGUGUGUGUUUUAUUUUAAAACAUAGAUCUAGUUUUCAAAAGUUUUAAAAAAAAACAAAAAAAAGGGAGUUUGAAAAAGGUUGAAAAACUAAACUUUUGGUAGCCUCGGCCACCGUCUAUGGCGGAGACGCGUUGGAGGCGCGGUGGCCUCAUGGUCGGCCUUUGGGAUGUAAAAAGGGGGUUGAGAGAAAAGAGGAACCCUUUGAAUU
rnacentral:lncRNA from 1 species